GUCCUGUUUCACGGUAGGCGACUGUGAUCCGCUUCGUUCCCUAACCCACUGGCCGCAGUGCAGUCCUCGCAGGGGUCGCGCGUUCAGCCAGGUCCAGGGGGUCGGGGUGCGCGGGCGGCGCGGACCGGGUCGCGACCGGGAGCCGAGACGAGCCGAGCCUGGCCAGUAGACAACGGCACGACACGGGCAGCCAGCCCGCGGCGAGUCGGUCCGAAGGUCAGCGGGAGGUCCGCCUCGUGCCCCGGACGUGAGAGGGACAGGAGACACCCCGAGGGGCACGGCCGUAGGACGCCGUGCCCCUCCGCCAGCUUUC
rnacentral:sRNA from 1 species